CGCUGGCGGCGUGCCUAACACAUGCAAGUCGAGCGAGGAGAUCCUCGGGAUGAUCCUAGCGGCGGACGGGUGAGUAACACGUGGGCAACCUGCCUCAUAGAGAGGAAUAGCCUUCCGAAAGGGAGAUUAAUACCUCAUAACAUUGCAGUUUCGCAUGGAACAGCAAUUAAAGGAGCAAUCCACUAUGAGAUGGGCCCGCGGCGCAUUAGCUAGUUGGUGAGGUAACGGCUCACCAAGGCGACGAUGCGUAGCCGACCUGAGAGGGUGAUCGGCCACAUUGGGACUGAGACACGGCCCAGACUCCUACGGGAGGCAGCAGUGGGGAAUAUUGCACAAUGGGGGAAACCCUGAUGCAGCCAACGCCGCGUGAGUGAUGACGGCCUUCGGGUUGUAAAGCUCUGUCUUCAGGGACGAUAAUGACGGUACCUGAGGAGGAAGCCACGGCUAACUACGUGCCAGCAGCAGC
rnacentral:rRNA from 1 species